AUGGAUACCGAAUGGGAGCUAAAAUUUCCUCUGGUAACCGUGCGAGCCCUAGAGCGUAUCGAGGCCUUAUCGGAUCAUGCACCCAUCAUUCUGGAUUCUAACUCUACGAACCCAGCCAGACGACGCCCUUUCAAAUUUGAAUUGGGAUGGCUGAAUAGGGCCGGAUUUGUAGACAUGAUCAAGAAUGUUUGGGAGAGGCCCGCUGUUGGUCGUACACCUAUUCAACGAUGGAUCUUUAAAAUAAGAGCCAUGAGGCGACACCUCUCUGGAUGGGCAAAACACACCAACGGAAUUUAUAAAAAAGAAAAACAAAGGCUCUGUACCAUCAUUGAUGACCUCGACAAAAUUGCAGAGACGCGCACAUUAUCUCAGCAAGAGAUUGAAUUGAAAAAUCAAUCUAAUGAGAUGGUUGCCCGUCUACUGCGAGAAGAGGAGAUCAAAUACUACCAGAGAUCCAAAGCUGAUUUCAUUUUAAUGGGUGAUAGUAAUACAAUAUACUUCCAAUUGGUCGCCAAUGGGCGGCAUAGGAAGAAAUGUAUUUACAGUCUCCAACAAGAUGAGGGGAGGAUCGAAGGUUAG
rnacentral:rRNA from 1 species